rnacentral:tRNA from 1 species
UCCCGGUUAGUUUAACUGGUUAAAAUCCUGAAUAAAGUAAGGCGUUGCAGGUUCGAAUCCUGCACCGGGAU